rnacentral:lncRNA from 1 species
AAAAAUUCAAAGACCCUGGGGAGAAAAAGAAGUCUUGGACUCCUCUGCAAGAAGUAGUUUGAACAAAAGAAAAGAUGCCAGUUACUCCUUUGAUUCUGUUAGAUGUAAGAAACACAGGUGCAUUAAUGCACCUACAUCACCCCUCACCAGAACAACCCACUACUGAGCAGAAGAGCUGCCCUCUCCCAGGGAAUUGCUAUCAAUCUUCACUGCAGCUGAAAUAC